rnacentral:rRNA from 1 species
GAGGUUAUCAUUCUUUGAUAUACCACUGUGGUGUAAUGUGUGUCGAAUUGGCGGCGAUGCUGUGUGUGUGCCCUUGGGCAUGUGCAUGCGCGCCGCCAGCAACAAACCCUAUUUUAAACUACUAGCUGUCUGAUUACUCUCUGUAAAGAAACAAUCUUAUACAACUGCUAGCAACGGAUCACUCGGCUCUCGCGUCGAUGAAGAACGUAGCAAAGUGCGAAAAUUAAUGCAACACGCAACACGUGAGUCAUCGAGUCUUUGAACGCAUAUUGCACCCGACAGGCUCGCUUGUCGGGUCUGCCUGUUUGAGUAUCAGAUCGGACCCAGCAGCCGACGACGGGGGCGUGGAACAGGGUUUUGCGACUCUGCUUUGCGCAUCCGCGUCGACUAGCCGGUGCUCGCUGCGCAGCAAUGUGCGGCGGAAAUGGGGUUUUGGGGGAGCGCUUGCGCAACCCCAUUCCCUGAAAUGUAUUGGCCGACCGGCGCAUCCUCGAUGUCGCUGCGCUUGGACUGCGGGCCGUUUAGCAAUGUUAAUCAUCCGCAAGGGUGUCUUUGUUAAGUUGCCGGGUUAUUCAACGAGCGUGGCGCGAUGUCCAAACCGACCACCCUUGCACAUGCACGAAAGUGCGUGCGCAAACCGCAGCGCGGGCAACCGCGUUUGCACCCACCAACUUGAUCUCAAAUCAGGCAGGAUGACCCG